AAGACUAUACUUUCAGGGAUCAUUUUUAUAGUGUGUUACUAGAGAAGUUUCUCUGAAUGUGUAGAGCACCAGAAAUUAUGUAAAUAUAUGGAUGAUAUAAUUUCCAUUGCAAACAUCUGUUUGCCCCUUACUGGAUUACACUUUCCAGAUGUCUAAAUUCUGAGUAUU
ensembl:snoRNA U3 Small nucleolar RNA U3